UACGUAGGGUGCAAGCGUUGUCCGGAAUUAUUGGGCGUAAAGAGCUCGUAGGCGGUUUGUCGCGUCUGCUGUGAAAACCCGAGGCUCAACCUCGGGCCUGCAGUGGGUACGGGCAGACUAGAGUGCGGUAGGGGAGAUUGGAAUUCCUGGUGUAGCGGUGGAAUGCGCAGAUAUCAGGAGGAACACCAAUGGGCGAAGGCAGAUCUCUGGGCCGUAACUGACGCUGAGGAGCGAAAGCAUGGGGGAGCGAACAGG
rnacentral:rRNA from 1 species